rnacentral:rRNA from 1 species
UGGGGAAUAUUGCACAAUGGGCGGAAGCCUGAUGCAGCAACGCCGCGUGAGUGAUGAAGGCCUUCGGGUUGUAAAGCUCUGUCUUUUGGGACGAUAAUGACGGUACCAAAGGAGGAAGCCACGGCUAACUACGUGCCAGCAGCCGCGGUAAUACGUAGGUGGCAAGCGUUGUCCGGAUUUACUGGGCGUAAAGGAUGCGUAGGCGGAUUUUUAAGUGAGAUGUGAAAUACCCGGGCUUAACUUGGGUGCUGCAUUUCAAACUGGGAAUCUAGAGUGCGGGAGAGGAGAAUGGAAUUCCUAGUGUAGCGGCGAAAUGCGUAGAGAUUAGGAAGAACACCAGUGGCGAAGGCGAUUCUCUGGACCGUAACUGACGCUGAGGCAUGAAAGCGUGGGUAGCAAACAGGAUUAGAUACCCUGGUAGUCCACGCCGUAAACGAUGAGUACUAGGUGUAGGAGGUAUCGACCCCUUCUGUGCCGCAGUUAACACAAUCAAGUACUCCGCCUGGGAAGUACGAUCGCAAGAUU